UACGGAGGGUGCAAGCGUUAUCCGGAUUUAUUGGGUUUAAAGGGUGCGUAGGCCGUCCGGUAAGUCAGCGGUGAAAUUUCGGGGCUCAACCCUGAAAUUGCCGUUGAUACUGUCGGGCUAGAGUGUUGUCGGCGCGGGAGGAAUGCGACAAGUAGCGGUGAAAUGCUUAGAUAUGUCGCAGAACACCGAUAGCGAAGGCAUCCCGAGAGGCGACACUGACGCUGAGGCACGAAAGCGUGGGGAUC
rnacentral:rRNA from 1 species